rnacentral:tRNA from 1 species
UAGGAAAUAGUAUAAUGGUAGUACGAGGGGUUUUGGGCCCUUAGGUAUAGGCUCGUGUCCUAUUUUUCUAG